rnacentral:lncRNA from 1 species
GUGUGCCGUGGGAGGGCACGCGGUGAGACAAAUGUGGCAGGGAGCUUGAGUAUAUAGCAUAGAAAAAAUAGCCUAUUUUUGCCGCUAUAGCCUGACAUAGCUUGAAAAAAAAUGUGCCGCUAUUUGCGUUCAUGCACAAUUUUACCGCUAUUUUGCCGCUAAAGUACGCCAAUUAUGGUUUAUAAAACGCUAAACACCUUGGCCUUAGCUCGCUAUUUAAAACAUGUGUAUAUAGUUAAAAAAUGAUGACAUGAACAAGUUAGGUCAGAAUGAUUUUAGCGUCAAGCCAUGGCGGUGGAGGGUGAUGAUGGAUCAGGUGGUGGGGUGAGCAGACAUAGGAGCCACAAUUAAUCAAGCUAGUGCAUAUUUUGAUAAAGAAGGAAGGAUAAUACAAGGUGUAGAUUCAGUGAUUUAAUCUGAGCCGUUGAUUUUGGAUGUAUAUAACCGGAUAAAUAAAGAAAAUCAUGUGUUGAUUAGCCACUAUGCAACUUUUUUUUUUAUUUGCAGACAUAUGGAAGUUCAAACAAAAUCGUGAUCUUUCGCCAAUCUCUGGAAGUGCAAGCCGCAAAUCUUUCUUAAAAAAAAAAAAACAAAUCUAGUGCGCUCCAUAGUGAGAAUCCGGGCUUUCCUGCCCUCCGCCGACCGAGCGCCCGACUCGUCUCGGACUCUCGGAGUCGAUCGGAGGCGUCUGCGACUGCGCGUCGUCGGCGCGCGUGGCGUACGCGGAACGCCGGCGUCUCCCGUCUUCGACUCCGAGUAGGACUUGGCAACCGAUGCAUAUAUGUAAACCCUACACGCCUUGGUCGAAUUCAUUCUAUAUUGCCCCGCUCCC